AGGGCACCACCAGGAGUGGAGCCUGCGGCUUAAUUUGACUCAACACGGGAAAUCUCACCAGGCCCGGACACCGGAAGGAUUGACAGAUUGAGAGCUCUUUCUUGAUUCGGUGGGUGGUGGUGCAUGGCCGUUCUUAGUUGGUGGAGCGAUUUGUCUGGUUAAUUCCGAUAACGAACGAGACUCUGGCCUACUAAAUAGAUGGAAAAUCCUAUAUGGGUUUUGUAAUGCUUCUUAGAGGGACGGGCGGCUUUUAGCCGCACGAGAAUGAGCAAUAACAGGUCUGUGAUGCCCUUAGAUGUUCUGGGCUGCACGCGCGCUGCACUGAAGAAAUCAGCGUGUAUUCCCUAUCCGAAGGGAUUGGGAAAUCCGUUGAACCUUCUUCGUGAUGGGGACUGGGGAUUGCAAUUAUUCCCCAUGAACGAGGAAUUCCCAGUAGGCGCGAGUCAUAAGCUUGCGUCGAUUACGUCCCUGCCCUUUGUACACACCGCCCGUCGCUACUACCGAUCGAGUGAUUUAGUG
rnacentral:rRNA from 1 species